rnacentral:tRNA from 1 species
CAGGGGAUAGUUUAUGAAAAAUAUUAAUUUUGGAGAUUAAUGAAAAGGUUGUUCUUUCCCCUGA